AUGCCUUUGCAUCCUCAUAGCUUAGCUCCCUCUUAUAAGUGGGAACAUACGGUAUUGGGUUUUUCCAUUCCUGAGUUACUCCAUUUAGAAUAAUAGCCUCCAGCUCCAUCCAGGCUGCUGCAAAAGACAUUAUUUUGUUCCUUUUUAUGGCUGAGUAGUAUUCCACGGUGUAUGUAUGCCACAUUUUCUUUUUCCACUAGUUGGUCAAUGGGCAUUUAGGUUGGUUCCAUAUUUUGCAAUUCCACCAAUUCAGAAAUUCUUAACCUUUUUUGUGCCAUAGACCUCUUUGGCAGAAUAAUGUUUUUAAAACACAUAGAAUCACAAAAGAAACAAAUACAUUAAAAUUGAGUUCUAUCCACAGACCCCUUGGUUUAUGGACCUAAGAUUACUUGAGACUUCUUUUCUGCACCAGACGUUCCAAAAACACCACUUCUUAGAAGUAAACACAAAACCCUCUCCAAUGGUCAAACUCUCACCUGCAGAUGCCAGCAGUUCUCUCUGAAUCCUGGGCUUCCCUCUGCCUCAAUGCCUUUUUCUGUGGUCAUUGACUCACACUUAGCUAGUUUGCAAUCUGCUACUCCAUAUCAGAUGAACUAUUGCCAAAUUCAUAAGAGGUAGGCCAUAUUAAGGCAAGUGAAUUUAUAUAAACUAAUACUACCUUCUCUUGUUCUCUUUAUUUCCAUACCUACUGUCAUUCCUUUUUCCCACCCGGUGCUAAUAUCUCUUGCCCUGUUGCUUCCUACAAGGGCAUCGCUUACUACUCAAUCAUCCAAUGCACAGCUACAUAUUAUAGUCCUGUUACAAUACUGAAGAAAGAACAUAAUCAUAUAUUCUCAUGAGUAUGUGUCUAUCAUGAAUUUGGUUGCUUUGUUUGUCCCUAAAUAAGCGUAUCUUUCUCCAUGUCACCAUACUGGAGGUCUUCCUGAUCCCUGCCUCAAUAAAUGAGUUGACAUCAGAAGGUCAUCUAUGAUGAACUAUUAACUGAAAAUAUUUGGAGAGCAGAAGGAAAAUGAUAACCAUGGAUUUUUGAGAUAAGAGGAGCCAUUCUGAAUGAGGCAUCAAUUGAGUUGAGACUCACACAAAAGAAAAAUCUCCCUUUGCAGACACCAGGAAGUCUGAAACUGAUUCCAUCUGGUUUGUCUGUGAUGUAUAACAUUACUGGGUCAUUAGUCUUUGCCUUUGCUCAAAGCUAACUCUAGCAUCUGGACCGGCAAUGUCAGAGCCCUCACAGGCAUCCCCACACCAACAAUUCUGUAGCCCACGUGGGAGAAGACCUUUGACUUCAAAGGCUGAAAGAGAAUCAACAAAAAAACCUUUUGGCUCCUUAGUGACUAGAGAAUACAUAAGGCCCAAAAACUUUCUCUUUUUCUCUCUCUCUCUACAACUCUAUGCGGAAAGAGUUCCUGAAAGGAAAGAACUACAAAGAGUAAGUGGUGAGUUCCUUGACAAAAACAAGUCUCAUUAACAAGCAAUUCAACUUUUCUCUGAGAUGAGCCAUAUGGACUGUAAACACAAAGACAAAAAGAAUUUUAACCCCUAAGUAGCAAAGUUUUCACAGAGCUACUACAUUAAAAAGAGAUAAUAGACAUGAAAACACAUUUUUUUUAACAGCUGGUAAGUAAAGGUAUAAUUAUCAUCAACAAUAAUCAUAGUUUUCUUCAUUGAACCUGGUUGAAAAAUCAUAAAAAUUCCAAGUUAUGAACUCAGAACAUUUAUUUUAGACCUCAUUUUGUCUGACAUAAGAUUACUCAUUCCUGUAAGCACAACAAAAGGCCGAGAAGAGACCGCAGAGGUCAUCUAGCUUAAUCCCUUCUUACUGAGUAUCAGAAAGGUUAAAUGAGGUGUUCAAGUCACAAUGAGUCAGUGCAGAGCCAGAACACACCACAGAUCUGCUAACUUUGUGGUCCUUCUAGUGAUACCAUACCACCUACCAGAAACAAAUUUAGAGAGUUAUAUUGUCUGUUACACAAAGCCCUGCUGGACUCACUAUCUUCCUUUUGUUUCUCACAUCUUCUAUUCAGUCUUCCCCACUCUGCUGUCUGCCCCAGGAGGCUGACUUAUAUGGACUACCUCAACUGACACACUUGACCUCUGACUUCCAGUUGAGUUUAAUCAAAGACGACCCCCCAGCAAGAGGAGGAAAGGACAGAGGAUAGAGAGGUUGGGUUGCUUAUUCCCUGGAGUCCCCUUCAGUCCCAUGUUAGUAUCAUCCUGAGAUGAGAGCUCCACACAGCUCUUUCCCUCUGUCCCUUCACCCCUUCAGGCCUAACGGUGUGUGUUAGUUCCCUAAGGCUUCCAUAACAAAUUUCUAUGCUUCAAACAACAGACAUUUGUCUCAUAGUUCUGAGGCCAGAAGUUUAAAAUCAAGGUUUUAGUAGGCCAUGCUCUCUCCGAAGGGUGUAAGUGAGAUCCUUCGUUGCACCUGCCUUGCUUCUGAAAGUUGCUGGCAAUCCUUGCCAUUCCUUGGCUUAUAGAUGCAUCACUCCAAUCUCUCCUUCAGCUUCACCUGAUGUUUUCCCUGUGUCUCUGUCUAUAUCUCUUCUCCUCUUAUUAUAAGGAUGUUAGACAUACAAGAUUAGGGCCCACCAUAAUGACCUCAUCUUCAUUUGAUUAUGUCUGCCAGGACUCUCUUUCCAAAUAAGAUCACAUUCAGAGGAACGGAAGGUUACAACUUCAACAUGUCUUUUGGAGGGACACAAUUUAACCCGUAACACAAUGGUAACAAAGCCCUGUUACUACUUGCCCCAGGGCACUGCAUUAUCCUGUGGUUUUCAUAGAUCUGAUCUGCGUUCCUACAAAUAAUUCCUUUACUAAACUUUCCCCAAGUUUCACUUCCACUUAGGAUAUAGAAAGCACAAGAGAAUAUUGAUCCCACCCCAAUAAUGAGAAAAAGCCAAAGAACCUAUUCUUGAGCCCGUCAGAGCUGAGAACACAAAGCAACCAACUGAAGUAAGUUCCAGUGAGUCACAGACCCCUCUAAGGAGAGACAGGGCACACAAACUAUUUCCCUUUUGGCAGAGCACAAAAGGAAAAGGCAGGUGCCAUAAAGGUAGGUAAAAAGAAAACAGCUACAAUUUUAACCAAUUCUUAAAGGUCAAGUGUAGGCUAAAGACACAAUAUGCAAUCCCUAGACCCCUUAUAUACAAGCAGAAUCUGCACCCACACACCAGUUAUUUUUCUUAAACCUGUACCAGGUACUCUUGAGAAGGAUUUCAGGCAGGAUAGGAAACUUGAGUGAGUCUCUUCAAUGUUGCCAACAUUCUGGUCAUGAACAUCUGCUGCUGCGGUGGAACAAGCACAAGGUCUCGCUUACUUCUUUAACAUGGAGCAAAAGUCUAAAGCUGCUGGGGAGAAAGCAAGAAAACCUCCCACUUUCAGAGCCCUGGCAAAGAUUCCUGCAUCUCAAAGGGAAAGAAAGCAAAAGUUCUCUGCUACAGGGGUAAGAAAGCUUCUGGAACAGGAGAAACUCUCUCUAGCCCAGGACCCUACACUCAUACAAAGCAGUGGCCUGUUGCCACUGAAGGCAAAACUGAAAAAUCUGACUACACAAGAGCUCCCACAGAUAUUAGGUUGGUGCAAAACAAAUUGCGGAUUUUGCCAUUAAAAGUUAUGGCAAAAAUCACAAUUACUUUUGCACCAACCUAAUAUAAGGCAGAGUUUGGCUGAAAUGGAGGGGAGGGAUAAGAAUACUGAGAAAGUGCCACCACUGAGGCUCAAUGACACAGGACCUACCUAACACAAAUGCUGAACCAGGAGAACAAAGAUCUUCCCCGCUGCAUCACAAGCCUCACACCAAAUAACAUACAACCGCUGUCUACACCUGAGGGUAUGACGGCAAGAAUACGAAUAAAUAUCCUAUCUGUGAUGGAACCAUGCAGAGGCUGCUGAAAACUAAUGAUGAAACAUAAAUAUAGAGAAAAACUCUCAACAUCUCAGGCCCCAUGUCAAGUGCAAGUUAGCAGCAGUCCACCACUGAAGGAAUUUGAAGCUCACAGUCUACUGAAGGUAACUACAAUAACCGCAAAACCUAAGCUCAACACAUGUACUGACAAGAGUAACUCAAGCUCGCACACUAAUAGCAUGAAAUAAGAAAAGUCAUGCCCAUUUCAGAACAUAAAUACGACUUACCUCAGAUACUACUACCCUUUUACAUAUAAUGUGUGGCAGUCAAUCAAAAAUAACAAGACAGACAAAAUAAGAUAAAGCAAACCACUAUGAAGACAUGGAGAAAUCAAUAGAUUAAUAAGACCCAGAGAUGAUAUGAGCAUUAGCAUUAUCAGACAGAUUUUUAAACAACCAUAGAAUAUUUUAGAUAAUCUAGUUGAAUAAGUGGGUAACUUACAUGAAGAGAUAGAAAUCUUUAGCAAAGCAAUACUAUCAAAAAGUCACAUGGAUGGCCAGGUAUGGUGGCUCUUGCCUGUAAUCCCAGCACUUUGGGAGGCCGAGGCAGGUAGGUAGAUCACUUGAGGUCAGGAGUUCAAGAUCAGCCUUGCCAACAUGGCAAAACCCCAUCUCUACUAAAAAUAUAAAAAUUAGCUAGGUGUGGUGGUGCACACUUACAAUCCUAACUACUCAGGAGGCAGAGGCAGGAGAAUUGCUUGAAUCUGGG
rnacentral:lncRNA from 10 species